rnacentral:lncRNA from 1 species
CCAUGUCAAGGACAUCUGCAUUGAUGAGGGAGUACCUUUGCUGGACAAGUUCUUGUUUGACACAGAUGCACAUGAGAAGAAUGUGUGUGAAUUCUUACCUUCUGCAAGGGAUAUGAACAAUGAGAUGGUUAAAGAAAAGUCUGACCUUGAUAUGUUGAUUCCAAAUGUGCUGAAAUCUUCACCAGAAAAGCAAAAUGUGAAUAUUCAUUUGCCUGUUCCGGAUAUGCUGAAAUCUUCUGAAGAACAGGAUUUGAAAUGUGAAUUAUCCCUUGAUUGUAAUCCCAAGCAUUUAGUACCAACAGAGGAAGUUAUGGAC